CAACUUUCAACAACGGAUCUCUUGGCUCUCGCAUCGAUGAAGAACGCAGCGAAAUGCGAUAAGUAAUGUGAAUUGCAGAAUUCAGUGAAUCGUCGAAUCUUUGAACGCACCUUGCGCCCUUUGGUAUUCCGAAGGGCACACCUGUUUGAGUGUCGUGAAAUUC
rnacentral:rRNA from 1 species